AUACUUACCUGGCAGGGGAGAUACCAUGAUCACAAAGGCGGUUUUCCCAGGACGAGGCUCACCCAUUGCACUCCGGGUGUGCUGACCCCUGCGAUUUCCCCAAAUGCAGGAAACUCGACUGUAUAAUUUGUGGUAGUGGGGGACUGCAUUCACGCUUUCCCCUG
rnacentral:snRNA from 1 species